rnacentral:rRNA from 1 species
GACGAACGCUGGCGGCGUGCCUAAUACAUGCAAGUAGAACGCUGAAGGAGGAGCUUGCUUCUCUGGAUGAGUUGCGAACGGGUGAGUAACGCGUAGGUAACCUGCCUGGUAGCGGGGGAUAACUAUUGGAAACGAUAGCUAAUACCGCAUAAUAGUAGAUGUUGCAUGACAUUUGCUUAAAAGGUGCAAUUGCAUCACUACCAGAUGGACCUGCGUUGUAUUAGCUAGUUGGUGGGGUAACGGCUCACCAAGGCGACGAUACAUAGCCGACCUGAGAGGGUGAUCGGCCACACUGGGACUGAGACACGGCCCAGACUCCUACGGGAGGCAGCAGUAGGGAAUCUUCGGCAAUGGACGGAAGUCUGACCGAGCAACGCCGCGUGAGUGAAGAAGGUUUUCGGAUCGUAAAGCUCUGUUGUAAGAGAAGAACGAGUGUGAGAGUGGAAAGUUCACACUGUGACGGUAUCUUACCAGAAAGGAACGGCUAACUACGUG